GACGAACGCUGGCGGCGUGCUUAACACAUGCAAGUCGAACGAUGAAGAAGAGAAACGCGAACUUCGGUUCAAAUUUCACUUCGGAUUAGUGGCAGACGGGUGAGUAACGCGUGAGCAACCUACCUCUUACAAAGGGAUAGCCUCGGGAAACCGUGAUUAAUACCAUAUGACACAUUCAUAAGGCAUCUUAAGAAUGUUAAAGCUACGGCGGUAAGAGAUGGGCUCGCGUCCCAUUAGCUAGUUGGUGAGGUAACGGCCCACCAAGGCGACGAUGGGUAACUGGCCUGAGAGGGUGAACGGUCACAUUGGAACUGAGACACGGUCCAAACUCCUACGGGAGGCAGCAGUGGGGAAUAUUGCACAAUGGAGGGAACUCUGAUGCAGCGACGCCGCGUGAGCGAUGAAGGAAUUCGUUUCGUAAAGCUCUGUUCUAUGGGAAGAAAAGGACUGUACCAUAGGAGAAAGCCCCGGCUAAAUACGUG
rnacentral:rRNA from 1 species